rnacentral:lncRNA from 1 species
CUGUCCGUUCUCUCUUUCAGGCACUAGAAUGGAAACUCUGUGAGGACAGGAACUGUUUUUAACAUUUAUUUAUCUGACUGCUUAUGAAUUGAGAGGCAGGAAAAGCCAUCCCCAGAUGAAGGGAUGAGAGGAAGGUCCAGGAACACAUGUGGCUAUGGACUGUGCCUUGGUCAAUCCAAUGGCUUUGAAAUACCCAGGACCAGCGAAGAGGGCGCUCUCCUCACUGAAUGUUCUUAAGCAGCAGAGAUGCAUGUAUAGUUUGGAAACAAGAAAAAAAAGAGAUUAAAAAGAGCUAGAAAGAAAUGGCAAGCGAUGUAUAACUAAAUUCAGGACCAAGCACAAUUGGCAAGGUGGUCUCCCGAAAGCAUCCGCAACUCAGAGGUACUGAGGUUCUUUUCUUGGGAGUUUGAAAGGGAGCUGAGGGGAGGGGCUGUGGAGGUGAGGGCACUGGAGGAGGCGAACAUC